rnacentral:rRNA from 1 species
AUUGAACGCUGGCGGCAGGCCUAACACAUGCAAGUCGAACGAGUGGCGGACGGGUGAGUAAUGUCUGGGAACCUGCCUGAUGGAGGGGGAUAACUACUGGAAACCGUAGCUAAUACCGCAUACCAUCGGUUCUGCCCAGAUGGGAUUAGCUAGUCGGUGGGGUAAAGGCUCACCUAGGCGACGAUCCCUAGCUGGUCUGAGAGGAUGACCAGCCACACUGGGACUGAGACACGGUCCAGACUCCUACGGGAGGCAGCAGUGGGGAAUAUUGGACAAUGGGCGCAAGCCUGAUGCAGCCAUGCCGCGUGUAUGAAGAAGGCCUUAGGGUUGUAAAGUACUUUCAGUGGGGAGGCGGUACCCGCAGAAGAAGCACCGGCUAACUCCGUGCCAGCAGCCGCGGUAAUUC